AAUUCAGAAGAAAUUGCAUGCAAUCCCCGGCUUUGUUCCAGAAGUUAAUUUGUGAAAGAAUGAAAGCCAUGAUCUUUGUCUUGAUGGGCAAACUAAUGGAUCAUAGCCAUGGAAACAACCUUGGCAUGCAACUGUAAACACUGUAAAAAGAAGUCUCCAGAGAGAAAAGAGAAGUAAAUGGCAGUAAACGUAAUCAUCUUGUAUGCCUCCAUUACUCUAUGAAACUCACAGCUAGCAAGGUGCCUGCCUUCUACAAGUUGCUGACUCCUGCCAUCUCCUGCAGGUAGGCAGUUUGGGAGCCUGCCCCAGCUACUACAGGCAUCUCAGACUUGUUCUAUGGCUUUAUAGCCAUGAAGACACAACCAUAGCCUUCGUGAUAUUCUCCACUCCUGAUCUUCCAGCUUACUACCUGGACUAACAAGAAACUUAGGACUCUGACCAGAUAUACAAUUAACAUGUUUUGGAAGAAGCAGAGUGAUGCCCAGCCAACUCUUCCCCAACAAGGGGCAUAAACGUUGUAACAUUCAGUCCAAAUGCCAAUCCAGUUUUUUGUCACCCAGGCUGGAGUGCAGUGGC